CAAUAAGCGGAGGAAAAGAAACUAACAAGGAUUCCCCUAGUAACUGCGAGUGAAGCGGGAAAAGCUCAAAUUUAAAAUCUGGCAGUCUCCGGCUGUCCGAGUUGUAAUCUAGAGAAGUGUUAUCCGCGCUGGACCGUGUACAAGUCUCCUGGAAUGGAGCGUCAUAGAGGGUGAGAAUCCCGUCUUUGACACGGACUGCCAGGGCUUUGUGAUACGCUCUCAAAGAGUCGAGUUGUUUGGGAAUGCAGCUCAAAAUGGGUGGUAAAUUCCAUCUAAAGCUAAAUAUUGGCGAGAGACCGAUAGCGAACAAGUACCGUGAGGGAAAGAUGAAAAGAACUUUGGAAAGAGAGUUAAACAGUACGUGAAAUUGCUGAAAGGGAAACGCUUGAAGUCAGUCGCGUUGUCCGGGGAUCAACCUUGCUUUUGCUGGGUGUACUUUCCGGUCGACGGGUCAGCAUCAAUUUUGACCGUUGGAUAAAGUCCAGGGGAAUGUGGCAUCUUCGGAUGUGUUAUAGCCUCUGGUCGCAUACAACGGUUGGGAUUGAGGAACUCAGCACGCCGCAAGGCCGGGUACUUGUACCACGUUCGUGCUUAGGAUGCUGGCAUAAUGGCUUUAAUCGACCCGUCUUGAAACACGGACCAAGGAGUCUAACAUGCCUGCGAGUGUUUGGGUGGAAAACUCAGACGCGUAAUGAAAGUGAAAGUUGAGAUCCCUGUCGUGGGGAGCAUCGACGCCCGGACCAGACCUUUUGUGACGGAUCCGCGGUAGAGCAUGUAUGUUGGGACCCGAAAGAUGGUGAACUAUGCCUGAAUAGGGUGAAGCCAGAGGAAACUCUGGUGGAGGCUCGUAGCGAUUCUGACGUGCAAAUCGAUCGUCAAAUUUGGGUAUAGGGGCGAAAGACUAAUCGAACCAUCUAGUAGCUGGUUCCUGC
rnacentral:sRNA from 1 species